AGAUAGAGUUACCAGCUUAGAGAAGAACAUAUCUGGAGGUCCUUAUUUAUAGACGGAGGGCGUAACUGACUGACAGCAAUGUCUGUAACCAUUUGAUAGUGGACCGCUCAGAGCCGCAUGGAGUUUGUUACGGAGAGUAGUGGCAUCAGGGGUCGUUCAGGGCCACGUGGAGCUUGUUACAGAGAGUGGAGUGGUGUCUGUUGUCGGGACUUGCCAG
rnacentral:lncRNA from 1 species